UCCCACUGAUUCUACAUUAUGUGACAAAAACAGAAACACAGAGGAGAAGGCCACAUGAAGAUGGAAGCAGAGGUUGGAGUGAUGCAGCCGUAAGCCAAGAAAUGCCAGGGAGAAAGAUCCCCUACCCAGAAGAGAGGCAUGGAACGGAUUCUCCCCUGGUGUCUUCAGAAGGAACCAACCCUGCCCACUACUUAACUUUGGACUUCUGACUUUCAGAACUAUUCUGAGAUUGGAAGGAAAUGUGGAGCUUUGGAAACGUGUAAGUCACGGGCUGCUAGGGCUGGUUGGUCUAAGCUUUGGAGGCACUGAGGGAGCUUCACUGGCUCCAAAGCCCACCUCUCAAGACCCAGGCACCUGGACAGCAUCCUCCACUGGGGCUGAGCAGCUGCAGCAGCAGGAUGGGGGACUGGGAGCUGUUCUGAUCCACGCUGUGCAACUUACAUGACAAGGAUAGAGGGAGAUUCAUUUUGUAAAGCCUUACUUUAUCUAUAAAUAUAAGGCAUUGAAUUAAUAGAAGAGUGAGUUUAAAAUUUUAUAUGGUGAUGAGCUAUUUUAUAUCUGGAAUACAUUGAAUUUAUCUGCCGAGUUUAGUUAAAUGAGACAACUCAGCAUAAUUGGAAGUGAAAAAUAAAUGAAGUGGAUUCUUGAUUCAGUAUUCAUUGCAACAUUGGGAUAAAUUUAAUUAAAAGAUUUCUGGGGACAACAGACAAGACAUCUAUAAAAGUUCUAAAGACUGAAUGCCUGUAUCAUUCAUUCUACGUGGAUUUAUGGAAGCAGUGCCAAGGAUUGAAAGUCAGCCACUGGAUUUGCUGAAAUAAUCAGAUAUUAAAGAAACUUAGAACUCUAACCUUACAUCUUCACCAAACUAAUUCCAGAUUGAAGAAAAGGGUUCAAUAUAACUCAUGUACUUAAAAGCAUGAGAAAGAAACGCAAGUAAAAAUUACGGCCAAGGACUCUCUAAACAUAACCAAAAUCAGAAAUCAUAGAGGAAAUAUUAACAGAUUUGAUUUCUAAAAAAUUCAAAGAGAAAAAGCAAAGCAAAACAAAAGCACAUUAUGUCAAAAGACAAUAUAAACAAAUUUCAAGGAUGAACAAAACCCUUGGAAAAUAUUUGCAGCAUAUGCAAUGGAGUUGAAUUCUUUAAUGUAUAAAGACCUCUUACAAUUUAAUAAGGAAAGGCAAACACACAGUGGAAGAGAGACAAAGGGUGUAUGUAAAAAGAGCUGAAGCUGUAUCUGUUGUCAGUAAGUUUAUGAAGUGACGGUCCACCUAGUCAGUAAUUAAAUUCGCUUAAAUAUCGAGGUGCCUAUUUCAUUUAUCAGAAAGACAAAGAAGCAAAUCGAAUGAUAUGGAGACAUCCAUACUACUUUUAAACAUUGUUAGUGGAAAAGUAAAUUGACAUAGGCUCCUGGGGAUGGGGAGAGAUUUGUUAAAGGAUACAAAAUUACAGCUAGGUAGGAAGGACAAGUUCUAGUAUUCUAUAGCACUCUAGGGUGACUAUAGUUAACAAUAUGUGUGUAGUUCAAGUAGCUAGAAGGAAAAUACUGAAUCUUCCCAACACAAAGUCGUGAUGAAUGUUUGAGAUGAUGGAUAUGCUAAUUACCCUGAUCUGAUCACUAUGUAUUGUAUGUUUGGGAACGUCACUAUGUACCCCAUAAGUAUGUACAAUUGUUAUGUGUCAAUAGAAAAUAUUUAUAGUAAAAAACCCUAGUGUAUAUUC